rnacentral:rRNA from 1 species
UGGGGAAUAUUGCACAAUGGGCGGAAGCCUGAUGCAGCAACGCCGCGUGCGGGAUGACGGCCUUCGGGUUGUAAACCGCUUUCGCCUGUGACGAAGCGUGAGUGACGGUAAUGGGUAAAGAAGCACCGGCUAACUACGUGCCAGCAGCCGCGGUGAUACGUAGGGUGCGAGCGUUGUCCGGAUUUAUUGGGCGUAAAGGGCUCGUAGGUGGUUGAUCGCGUCGGAAGUGUAAUCUUGGGGCUUAACCCUGAGCGUGCUUUCGAUACGGGUUGACUUGAGGAAGGUAGGGGAGAAUGGAAUUCCUGGUGGAGCGGUGGAAUGCGCAGAUAUCAGGAGGAACACCAGUGGCGAAGGCGGUUCUCUGGGCCUUUCCUGACGCUGAGGAGCGAAAGCGUGGGGAGCGAACAGGCUUAGAUACCCUGGUAGUCCACGCUGUAAACGGUGGGUACUAGGUGUGGGGUCCAUUCCACGGGUUCCGUGCCGUAGCUAACGCUUUAAGUACCCCGCCUGGGGAGUACGGCCGCAAGGCUAAAACUCAAA